UCCAGAAUUCACCUCAGAUGCAUCAAACUAAAGUAACAAGGCUGUUCUGAAGCUGUGAGGAGGAGAAAGUUCAGGUGUAGAGAGGAGAAGUCACACAGAGACUCAGAGGACACAGACAUGAGACAUGUACUGGAGGACAGUAACUAGGACAUCAGGGACUCCCCACAACACCUGAGAAGAGAUGAAGCUGAUGUGACGAGGCGGUGAACAAUCAGGUCUGAAGUAAAAUGUAACAAGAGAAAUAAAAUAUAUAAAAGCUG